GUACGAAGGGGGAGCUAGCGUUGUUCGGAAUCACUGGGCGUAAAGGGCGCGUAGGCGGCUUUAUAAGUCGGGGGUGAAAGCCUGUGGCUCAACCACAGAAUUGCCUUCGAUACUGUAGAGCUUGAGACCGGAAGAGGUAAGUGGAACUGCGAGUGUAGAGGUGAAAUUCGUAGAUAUUCGCAAGAACACCAGUGGCGAAGGCGGCUCACUGGCCCGGUACUGACGCUGAGGUGCGAAAGCGUGGGGAGCAAACAGG
rnacentral:rRNA from 1 species